GACGAACGCUGGCGGCGUGCUUAACACAUGCAAGUCGAACGAUGACGACCGAGCUUGCUCGGUCUGAUUAGUGGCGAACGGGUGAGUAACACGUGAGCAACCUGCCCUUCACUCUGGGAUAACCUCGGGAAAUCGGGGCUAAUACCGGAUAUGAGCUCCUGUCGCAUGGCGGGUUUUGGAAAGUUUUUCGUUGAAGGAUGGGCGCGCGGCCUAUCAGUUUGUUGGUGAGGUAGUGGCUCACCAAGGCGAUGACGGGUAGCCGGCCUGAGAGGGCGACCGGCCACACUGGGACUGAGACACGGCCCAGACUCCUACGGGAGGCAGCAGUGGGGAAUAUUGCACAAUGGGCGAAAGCCUGAUGCAGCGACGCCGCGUGAGGGAUGACGGCCUUCGGGUUGUAAACCUCUUUCAGCAGGGAAGAAGCGAAAGUGACGGUACCUGCAGAAGAAGCGCCGGCUAACUACGUG
rnacentral:rRNA from 1 species